rnacentral:rRNA from 1 species
AUGCAAGUCGACGCGAAGCACCUUCGGGUGCAAGUAGAGUGGCGGACGGGUGAGUAACGCGUGGGAAUCUGCCCAGUAGCUGGGGAUAACUCGAGGAAACUCGAGCUAAUACCGAAUACGCCCUACGGGGGAAAGGCUUCGGCCACUAUUGGAUGAGCCCGCGUCAGAUUAGCUAGUUGGUAGGGUAAUGGCCUACCAAGGCGACGAUCUGUAGCUGGUCUGAGAGGACGAACAGCCACACUGGGACUGAGACACGGCCCAGACUCCUACGGGAGGCAGCAGUGGGGAAUAUUGGACAAUGGGCGAAAGCCUGAUCCAGCAAUGCCGCGUGUGUGAAGAAGGCCUGCGGGUUGUAAAGCACUUUCAGUUGGGAAGAUUAUGACGUUACCAACAGAAGAAGCACCGGCUAACUCCGUGCCAGCAGCCGCGGUAAUACG